rnacentral:rRNA from 1 species
GUCUUAUUGUAUAAAAUAAUAAGUCCGACCUGCCCUAUGUAAAUGAAUGGCCGCGGUAUUAUGACCGUGCGAAGGUAGCAUAAUCAAUAGUCUGUUAAAUGCAGUCUGGAAUGAAGGGUUUAACGAGUAAUAACUUUCUUAAUUUUAUAGAUGAAUUUUAAUAAUUAGUGAAAAUGCUAAUAUGAAUUAGGGGGACGAGAAGACCCUAUAAAGCUUUAUAUAUGAUAUUUUAGUAGUAUUUUUCAAUAUAUUUUGUUGGGGCGACAAUAAAUAAAAACAUUUAUUUUAUAGUCUAUUUAAUAGGUUUAUGAUCCAUUCAUAGUGAUUGUAGACUAAGUUACUUUAGGGAUAACAGCGUAAUUAUAUUUUAGAGUUCUUAUCGAUGAUAUAGUUUGCGACCUCGAUGUUGGAUUAAGAUACCUUUGAGGCGCAGUUGUUUUAAGGGGUAGUCUGUUCGACUAUUAAAAUCUUACAUGAUCU